GUGCGCUCCCGCACCCCCGGAGUCCAGGGUCCCGGCACCCCCGAGCGCAGCCAGGGAUGCGCGGAGCCCUGCGAGGAGCGCAACGCGCGACCCCCGAGCACAGGUUGUCCCUGGGGUCCCCGGCGCUCCGGCCCCGGCGGGCGGCACGACCCCCGCUCGCCCCCGCCCCCAACCCUGACGCCCUCGGGGCGUCCCCGCGGGUCCGACACGCCACCCCCUCCCCGCCUCGACGGCUCUCGCAGCCCCGCGCCCAGCUCCCUGCAUCCCCCGGCGGCUCGCACCUUCCUCAGCGCGGACAUCCUCGGACGCUCCGGGCUCAGCAGUGUUUGUGGAGAAGGUGCUGCAGAGACUUUUUCCUCGUGUUCCAAGUGGCCAAGGAAAGAGAGAACCCCAGACACUGGCCGUCCAAAAUCCACCAAAGAAAGUGACCUCUGAGAAAGUGAGCCGGAAAGAUGCUCAGCCUUUGACAGACGCUGGCUCUGAGACCCCGACUGCCCGACGGCUCUACACCGCCAGCGGGCCUCCCGAGGGCUACGUCCCCUGUUGGCCGGAGCCCAGCAGCUGUGGGAGCCCCGAGAACGCCUCCAGCGGGGACAACACAGAAGAUCAGGAUCCUCAUGACCAGCCAAAGAGAAAAAGAAUUAGGAAGCAUAAAUCAAAGAAAAAAUUUAAAAAUCCCAAUAAUGUUCUUAUAGAACAAGCAGAAUUAGAGAAACAGCGGAGUCUGUUACAGGAGAAAUCUCAGCAACAGCACACAGAUGGCACCACAAUAAGCAAAAAUAAAAAAA
rnacentral:sRNA from 1 species